GUGGGGAAUAUUGGACAAUGGGCGAAAGCCUGAUCCAGCAAUGCCGCGUGAGUGAUGAAGGCCUUAGGGUUGUAAAGCUCUUUUACCAGGGAUGAUAAUGACAGUACCUGGAGAAUAAGCUCCGGCUAACUCCGUGCCAGCAGCCGCGGUAAUACGGAGGGAGCUAGCGUUGUUCGGAAUUACUGGGCGUAAAGCGCACGUAGGCGGUUACUCAAGUCAGAGGUGAAAGCCCGGGGCUCAACCCCGGAACUGCCUUUGAAACUAGGUAACUAGAAUCUUGGAGAGGUCAGUGGAAUUCCGAGUGUAGAGGUGAAAUGCGUAGAUAUUCGGAGGAACACCAGUGGCGAAGGCGGCUCACUGGCUCGAUACUGACGCUGAGGUGCGAAAGCGUGGGGAGCAAACAGGAUUAGAUACCCCUGUAGUCC
rnacentral:rRNA from 1 species